AUUGAACGCUGGCGGCAUGCUUUACACAUGCCAGUCGAACGGCAGCGCGGGCUUCGGCCUGGCGGCGAGUGGCGAACGGGUGAGUAAUGCAUCGGAACGUGCCCAGUAGUGGGGGAUAGCCCGGCGAAAGCCGGAUUAAUACCGCAUACGACCUGAGGGUGAAAGCGGGGGACCGAAAGGCCUCGCGCUAUUGGAGCGGCCGAUGUCGGAUUAGCUAGUUGGUGGGGUAAAGGCUUACCAAGGCGACGAUCCGUAGCUGGUCUGAGAGGACGACCAGCCACACUGGGACUGAGACACGGCCCAGACUCCUACGGGAGGCUGCAGUGGGGAAUUUUGGACAAUGGGGGCAACCCUGAUCCAGCCAUGCCGCGUGCGGGAAGAAGGCCUUCGGGUUGUAAACCGCUUUUGUUCGGGAAGAAAUCCUCUGGGCUAAUACCCCGGGGGGAUGACGGUACCGGAAGAAUAAGCACCGGCUAACUACGUG
rnacentral:rRNA from 1 species